rnacentral:rRNA from 1 species
GGGUUAAAACUGCGAAUGACGCAACAAAAGAACUGAUUAUCCGACUGAAUCGGGAGCCUGGGCUUCGUGCCGAAGCGCCUCAGUGAAUGCGUUGCCGAGAAAAGUUUGCAGUUGUUCCCCCGCUUGCCCGUACCGUAAACCGACACAGGUGGGUGAGUGUAAGUGCACUCAGGCGCGCGAGAGAAACCUCUCUAAGGAACUCGGCACAUUAGCCCCGUAACUUCGGGAAAAGGGGUGCCCAAUGCCGCUGCAGCAAUGUUGCGGCGGAGGGUCUCAGUAAAUUGCGUUUAGCGACUGUUUAACAAAAACACAGCUCUCUGCCACGUCGUGAAGGCUACGUAUAGGGAGUGACAAGUGACCAAUGCGGAAAGAUCAAAGCAUCUUGUUAGCCGCAAGGCGAAGCUCGGUGCCCAAGUCCCCGUGAAUGUCGGCCGUAACUAUAACGGUCCUAAGGUAGCGAAAUUCCUUGUCGGGUAAGUUCCGACCUGCACGAAUCUUGUAACGACUGAACGACUGUCUCGGAGAGGAUCUCGGCGAAACUGUAACUGCGGUGAAGAUGCCGCAUGCCCGCAGUAGGACGGAAAGACCCUAUGCACCUUUACUGUAAGCUCGUAUUGUGUUCUGGUUAGGAAUGCGUAGCGUAGGUGGGAGACUUCGAAGCGCGGGCUUCGGUUCGCGUGGAGUCAAAAUGUGAAACACCACUCUUUUUUAAUUAGGAUUCUAACCCCGAUCCUGUCAGCCAGGCGGGGGACAGUGCGUGCGGGUCAGUUUGACUGGGGCGGUUUCCUCCCAAAUUGUAACGGAGGAGCGCGAAGCUCGGCUCAGCAUGGUUGGCAACUAUGCGUUGAGGGUAUGGCUAAAAGCCGGGUUAACUGUGAGACUUACAAGUCGAGCAGGUGCGAAAGCAGGCCCAAAUGAUCCGACGGUGGAAUGUGGAAUUGCCGUCGCUCAUCGGGCAAAAGGUACGCUAGGGAUAACAGGCUGAUCGGGUCCAAGAGUUCACAUCGACGACCCGGUUUGGCACCUCGAUGUCGGCUCAUCGCAUCCUGGGGCUGGAGAAGGUCCCAAGGGUCCGGCUGUUCGCCGGUUAAAGCGGUACGCGAGCUGGGUUCAGAACGUCGUGAGACAGUUCGGUCCUUAUCCACUGUGGGCGGAGGAUACUUGAGGGGUUCUUUCUCUAGUACGAGAGGACCGAGAAAGACGCACUUCUGGUGUGGCAGUUGUUCCGUCAGGGGCAUCGCUGCGUAGCCAUGUGCGGAAGGGAUAAGCGCUGAAAGCAUCUAAGUGCCAAGCCCAUCCCAAGAUAUGGUGUCCCGGCCGCAAGGCCCUAAAGACCCCCGGCAGACCACCGGGUUGAUAGGUCAGGCGUGCAAGACAAGCAAUUGUCUGAGCGGAUUGAUACUAAUCGGUCGUGAGGCUUGACC